rnacentral:tRNA from 1 species
GCCCGUUUGGCUCAGUUGGUAGAGCGCAAAUCUCUUAACCUUGUGGUCGUGGGUUCGAGCCCCACGGUGGGCG